rnacentral:rRNA from 1 species
CCUACGGGAGGCAGCAGUGGGGGAUAUUGCACAAUGGGGGGAACCCUGAUGCAGCGACGCCGCGUGGGUGAAGGAGCGUUUCGGCGCGUAAAGCCCUAUCGGCAGGGAAGCAGAAGACGGUACCUGACCAAGAAGCCGCGGCUAACUACGAGCCAGCAGCCGCGGCAAUACGUAGGGGGCAAGCGUUAUCCGGAUUUACUGGGUGUAAUGGGGGCGCAGACGGCAAUGCAAGCCAGGAGUGAAAGCCCGGGGCCCAACCCCGGGACUGCUGUUGGAACUGCAUGGCUGGAGUACAGGAGGGGCAGGCGGAAUUCCUAGUGUAGCGGUGAAAUGCGUAGAUAUUAGGAGGAACACCGGUGGCGAAGGCGGCCUGCUGGACUGUGACUGACGUUGAGGCCCGAAAGCGUGGGGAGCGAACAGGAUUAGAUACCCUAGUAGUC